UACGUAGGGUGCAAGCGUUGUCCGGAAUUAUUGGGUUUAAAGGGUGCGUAGGCGGCCCUAUAAGUCAGUGCUGAAAUAUCCCGGCUUAACCGGGAGGGUGGCAUUGAUACUGUAGGGCUUGAGUGUAGUCGAGGUAGGCGGAAUUGACGGUGUAGCGGUGAAAUGCUUAGAUAUCGUCAAGAACACCGAUAGUGUAGACAGCUUACUAGGCUACAACUGACGCUGAGGCACGAAAGUGUGGGGAUCAAACAGG
rnacentral:rRNA from 1 species